rnacentral:tRNA from 1 species
GGGCGCUUAGCUCAGUUGGUUAGAGUACCAGCUCGACAAGCUGGGUGUCACAGGUUCGAGCCCUGUAGCGCCCA